UACGUAGGUGGCGAGCGUUGUCCGGAAUUACUGGGUGUAAAGGGCGUGUAGGUGGGUAUGAAAGUCAGUUGUGAAAUACCGAGGCUUAACCUUGGGGGUGCAACUGGGACUGUAUAUCUUGAGUACUGGAGAGGGAAGCGGAAUUCCUAGUGUAGCGGUGAAAUGCGUAGAUAUUAGGAGGAACACCAGUGGCGAAGGCGGCUUCCUGGACAGAGACUGACACUGAGGCGCGAAAGCGUGGGGAG
rnacentral:rRNA from 1 species